AAAUAAUAUAAAUAUUUCUAACAGCAAAUAUUUUAUCAAGAUUAUCGGCAAAUGUAACAGUAAAAAUUGUGGCAACAUUUUCAAAGCAUCCUUUAAAUGGAGGAAAGCGGAAAGAGAUAAACAAAACAGCAAUUACAGAAGGAUGUUCAAAUUUACGAAAAAGAAAAGUAAGAGAAGAUGCGUCUUGGAGAUGCAGAUACACCAAUAAUACCUUCAUUGGAUAUACUCCGACAUGC